CUACGGGUUGCAGCCGUGAGGAAUAUUGCACAAUGGGGGGAACCCUGAUGCGGCAACGCCGCGUGGAGGAUGACGCAUUUCGGUGUGUAAACUCCUUUUAUAUGUCAAGAAAAUGACGGUAGCAUAUGAAUAAGCACCGGCUAACUCCGUGCCAGCAGCCGCGGUAAUACGGAGGGUGCAAGCGUUACUCGGAAUCACUGGGCGUAAAGGACGCGUAGGCGGGUUGGAAAGUCAGGUGUGAAAUCCUACAGCUUAACUGUAGAACUGCACUUGAAACUUCUAAUCUAGAGUAUGGGAGGGGGAGAUGGAAUUAGUGGUGUAGGGGUAAAAUCCGUAGAUAUCACUAGGAAUACCUAAAGCGAAGGCGAUCUCCUGGAACAUUACUGACGCUAAGGCGUGAAAGCGUGGGGAGCAAACAGGAUUAGAUACCCGCGUAGUC
rnacentral:rRNA from 1 species